rnacentral:lncRNA from 1 species
UAAACUCGCAACAGUGCCAGCACCCAGAGAUGAAGCCCCCAGGAACCAUUAGAAGACAUUUAAGAUCCAAAUCGUAAGAGUGGCUAAGGAUUUUAACAAGAAGUCAGCAGCGACUCUUCAUAACCGGUGAAGGAAGAAACAGAAAGGGAAACAGCCUCAGGGAGGAAGGCAACCUGGUCACAGGCUCACUCCACAAGAAUGAACACAUACUGCUUGGAUAACCAAGAGCCAGAGGCUAGACAUCUUAAAGACAUGAGUGCUGGGGACAGAGCCCAGGCUUCAUUCAUGCCAGAAAGAUGGUGGUGUCUCUGUGAAAUCAAAGAUGAAAUUUACCUAGAAAAAUCCCAAGGGAGUACCCUCUACUUCCAAAAUCUUCUGCUUGGUCAUAAUGAAGUGGGAAGCAGACUCCAUUUUUCCCAUAAAAGUUGCCGAAAUAAUCCUCUCUGGUGAAGGGAAUGGCCGCUAUGAGAAAUCCCACCACCCAGAUGCUGGCGAGGACCACAGCAGUCUGGCGCUUGCCCAGGCGCAGGUUGCUGAAAGGGAAUACGAUGACAAGGAACUUCUCCAGCGUCAGGAAUGUCAGCAG